AGAGGAUAGAGGAAAAGAGUAAGUUAUGCUCCAUGUUUCUUCUUGUGCAUCCAUGCUCCAUAUGCCAAACUUAAAGUCAGGAUUCCCAGUAUGCGCUACGGCUAUGACUAGACGGUCUUCAAGGUUAGCUAUCUGCCCUGACUUGCAGAAUCUAGGUGGUGUCUUUACGCUACGAAACUCUUCUGUGUGUAGAUCCAAAGCAAGUAUCUUCUGAGUCUGGUAAUAACUAUCUACUACUAACCAGUAGAUGGAUCCAUUCACAAACGCCGACUUCAGUCUCUCUCCCACAUAGAAAAGAGGCUUACGCUUCAGUUUCCUCCAUACCCCAAUGUUUAUUUCAAGAAUCUCGCAGUAACUAUAGUUACGCUGGAAGCACAUCCUCACUACCUUAUAGUUCCCAUUAACUAUGUCCCUACCGAAUCCCAUCCUCCAGUAUCCAGGAAACACUUCAAAACCCCUUCCUGCAAUUUCAAUACAUAUAUAUAAUAAUUACUUUGAUAUUAGUCAAUUUUCAAAUUUUAGACUUACUGGAUACAUCGCCGAUGAUGUCGGUCAUCUUUGGAUCUCUGCCGGAAGGGAAUCUGAGGAACUCUCCGGUGGAAGGAUUCAUGAUCCAGCCUGGCACGGGCAUGCAAACCAGACCGUUACAGGACAGCGACGGUCGUCUGGAAAAAUCACUGUCGAUAUAGGGCCCUUCAACCUCCUUCGGCGUUAGCACGUUGGGGAAAUCACAGUUUAGAUAGAUCAUCUCGACCUCUUCGUCGUCGUCCACUAAGGAACCUUUUGGAUAGUUUAAGAGCAAAGCGCCAGCGGACACGAAUUGCAUCUUCUUUUGAUUUUUUUGGAUAGUGAAACGCCUCCUCUCCGAGAAGCUCCUCGACUCAAGUAAUGAUCUCCACUGUUUUGAGACGCUUUUGAAUUUGAGGAUGGAUUUCAGCGGCAGUCGAAGAAGAACUUCUUCCUCCAGAUCCAAACCUAGCUCUUUCAUCGAUAGGCCGAGGGUUUUUUUUUUUUUUUUCUUUUUUCCUCUCUCUCUUUUCUUGAUCUAUGGUUUAUUUUAGAGAUGUAUUUAAAUUGAAUUAUACACAUGUCGCCUACUCCCAGAAAAAAAAAAGAAGAAAAAUCAGAAUCUACCCAAAUAAGCCCAUCAGGCCACGCCGCCUAUAACAUCUUUUUUUUUCCGUUGCAAAAAGUAAAGCUAUUGUGUUGUAAAGAUAUUGGCCGAUUAUGUCAAAAUCCUCUCUGUCGGAAGGUGUCCGAACAGUGAUUAGCAUAGGCACCGUUUUCGAACAUAGACUAAAUUCAGGAAAAAUCUAUGUUCUCGAUAGGAACCAAACCGAUAUUUUUACCCUAUUGAGUCUUGUUGUGGAGGACCCAUAGAUCUUGGAUCCAACCCGACCUGAACCAGAAAUCCGAUGAGUAUCUAGAAUUCCCGAAACUUUUUGUAUAUAUUAUUAGGGAUAUAUGAGUGUUUCAGUAUAUUUUCGGUAUCACAAGUAUUUUCUUUUAAGUUUCGGAUUUGGGUAUGGUUUGGGUUUCGGGUAAACUUUAAGAAUUUCAAAAAUAUAAUUCCGAUAAUCUAAUAAAAUUUUGGACAUUUUUCGGGUAUGGUUUUGAGUUUCCGUUCAGAUUUUGGGUAAAUUUUCGGAUAUUUUAUGGGUAUUUAAAUAUUUUCAAGUAUUUUUGGUGUUUUUAGAUAUUUUUUGGACUGGACCUGAACCGAACCCGACCUAGAUUUGAACCAAAUCCGAACCAAAACAUUCUAAUUAUCCUAUUGGAGCCAACUAUCUAAGAUCCGAACCAAUUGGAGACCCGACAUGACCCGAACCGAACUCGAAUUGACAAAUUCUAAUUAUCCUAUUGGAUCUGAAUAUCUAAAACCCGAACCCGACAAGAUCCGGUCCGAAUCCGACCGGAGGACUAUCUAGUUUGUAAUUAGUUCUCCAGCUUUCCGAUUUUGUAAGAAUUUUUUUAUUUUGUUAGACCCAAAGAGGUUGUGACUUUGAAUCCUGGUAUGAGUUUGUACAACCCAUCAUGAUGACCGGUUAUGCGUUUUACAGUCUUGUCCUAUCCAAGUCCAAAAAGCCAUUAAAAAAAUUGAUUCAGAGCUAACAGGGAUUCACAACUGGCAUUUAAAAAAGAAACACACACACAUGUAUUUGACUUUGAGGCUGCGGACAGUGGCGUCAGGUCUCUGCAGAUAAAAUGCAAUUGUCAGCUCUUGCAUGUUUAUUUUACCUUAUUUUUAAGCAGAUAGUAUGUUUAACUUUUGAGCCACCGCCAUUGCUGAACUCACAUCAAAGGGCCUUAGAGCAAGUCUAACGAGGAGUUCUAAGAGCAUCCGCAUUAGCGGUUGUAAAGGGGUUCAUGGGCUCGGGUUUUUAGGCCCGAAACGAAGAAAAAAAGAGAAAAUGGGUUAAUUUCGUUGAACCAGCUCUUACGAGUGAACCCGUAUGAUAGGGGUUCAAGCCAUGUGUCAAUCACCCAUUAGCCACGCCAUUUCAGAUAGACGAGGAAGAAACACGGGUUGAGCGUGUUUCACUUCAUUUUCUCUCCUCUCCGAAAAAGUUAGGGUUUCUCACAGAGAGAGGCGAUUUCUCUAACGAUGCCGACUGCCGGAGAUUUUCUCCAUCUAAUCGACGACGGACUGUCUCAUCCACGAGCUCAGGUCAGUAUCGAGUAGAUUCACGGUUUAGGGGAUUCGAAAUCGAGUAGAUUCACGGUCUCGGGGAUUCGAUUCGAAAUCGAUUUGGGGGUUUCGAAGUAGGGUUCUAAAUCGAUUUGGGGGUUUCGAUUUUCGGUUGUAAUUCGUCAUGCGGGUUCGAUUUAGGGUUCGUUGCAUGUUAUUUGUUUCGUCUUUAUGUUCUAACCAUGUCGAUUUCUGGUACAGAUGGAUCCCGCAGAAGAGAGAACAGAGAGAAAAAGGCAUAAGGAGUACAUCAACAUGCUAGGAUAUGUGGCCGAUUCACAAUACGGGAUUCCGACAAGGUGUCUGUGUGGUGAGAGAAUCAUUGACGAGGUUCGGGGAAAGGAGGACUAUGACACUCUUCCUGGGAAGCGCUUCUUCACCUGCAAAAACUACGAGGUAAGUCUGAAUUGGCAUACUUGUAUAAAUUAGAGUAUGUUUAAUUUUUCUCUCCUAUCAACGCAAAAACUAGUUUAAAAACAUAGGAAAUCCACUUCUGAAAACACAAACCAACUUAAAAACACCAACCAAAACCAAAAUGGAUCAUUUUUCCCUAAACUCUCUCGGGUUUGUUAACCUAUUAACUUCCCAGAGCUGUCAAACAAUAGAGGUAGAGUCUUCUGAGGUUCCUAGGUUUAGUAGCCAGAGCUCUGAAUCUCCCAAACCAGUGAAAAGGAGAAAGUGGACACAAAAAGAAGACAUUGUGCUCAUCAGUGCUUGGUUGAACACCAGCAAGGAUCCCAUAGUGAGUAAUCAGCAGAAGGCAGUUGCGUUUUGGAAGAGAAUAGAAGAGUAUUUCAACUCAAGCCCUCAGCUCAGUGGCUUCCCUCCGAGAGAGGCAAGUCGCUGUAAGCAUAAGUGGGGAAGAGUGAAUGAGCAGGUGUGCAAGUUUGUCGGAAGCUAUGAGGCCGCUUUGAAGGCGCAAGCUAGUGGAGAAAAUGAUAAUGAUGUCAUGAAGACUGCCCAUGACAUCUUCUUCAAUGACAACCAGGCCAAGUUCACCCUUGAACAUGCGUGGAGGGAACUUAGGUUUGAUCAAAAAUGGAGAUCAAAUUGGCUUGCAAAGAUGGUGCAAAGGACAAAAGGAAGGAACCUGCGGAGAUGGUGCCUGACUUGGAAGAGGUUAGGCCUCCUGGUGUUAAGGCUUGCAAAGCAGCGAAAUGCAAUAAGCAUGGGAAAGAAGUAGUUUAUGAUCAAUUACAGAGCUUGCUAGUUGUGAAAGAGAACAUAUCCAAACAGAAGAAACUCCUUGAUCGUCUCCUUGCCAAAAAAGAUACUUUAUAUGAUAUAGAAGUGUCACUGUAAAACAAACUAGUUUCUCAAAUGCUUUGAUCUGGUCAGUGGCUUUAUUUUUUUGAAUUUACAACUUGUUUAACUUGUGCGAGACAAUGUUUAGUUGCUUGUUAACUUGUUUUCUUGCUUCUUUUGCUUGUUAACAUGUUUAGUUGAUUCUUUACUUGUUUACUUGAGUACUUGUUUACUUGUUUACUGGUUUACUUAUGUUUGUUUCUACACUUUUUUACUAACAUGAAAUGCUUUGAUCUGUUUUGUUUUGCAGGUCACGGGUUGUACUUGUCUACUAGUUGGUUCUGCAGGUCACAGGUUCUACCUAACUACUGUCUUUAUGUUUCUGUCUACUUGUGUACUUGGUCACGGGUUGUUAUGUCCUCUUGUAUUGUUCUGAACUUAUGUUUCUGUAUCUUUGUUUCACGGGCAAAGUGUAGAAUUUUGUUUGUUUCUACACUUUGUUUUUUUUUCAUUCAUGGUUAUGUAAUGGGAUGCUCUAUAUAAACUAUGUAUUUCUUUUAUUGCUCAAAUGUGCAACAAACUCAACUUCUUCUCUUAAAAAUUGUCUCUCUACUUCUUCAAAUUGUCUCUCUACCUCUUCAAAUUGUCUCUCUUGAGUCUACAAACUUGUUCUAUCUCUACCUUUCUUUCCAAAACACAACCAAAUUUCCAAACACUUUACCUUUUACACUUAACCAAAUUUCCAAAACACGUAACCAAAUUUCCAAAUUGUGUCUCUAUAUAUAUAAUUUUUUUUUCGUGAACAACAUUCAUUUCUCUUCUGAAAAAAAAAAAUGUCUUCCUCAUCGUCUGAUGCCGUAGAUGAAAUGUUAAACGAAGCUUUAGAAGAAAUGUUCGACCAACAAUUUGAUCAUACCUUCAACUCAAUAAUUGAUGGUCAAGCCAACUCAAAAAUGUCUUCCUCAUCGUCUGAUGCCGUAGUUGAAAUGUUAAACGAAGCUUUAGAAGAAAUGCUCGACCAACAAUUUGAUCAUAUCUUCAACUCAAUAAUUGAUGGUCAAGCCAACAAACCGAAGAGACGAGCUUAUAUCGAAAGAGAACGGGAUAGGAAGGAUUAUGAGAACUUGUGUCAUACUGCACAAUAUGGUAGUAGAGAACGAACGCGACGGAUACACUCAGUAUGAUACAUCUGACUUCGAAGCAGGAGAGUCAAGCAGAAGUUCGAAGGUGAAAAGGAGAGAAAGUGUGAAUAUCCCUAAUAUGCUUGGGAUUCAGAAUCAAAUUCGUGAUCCACAGAUACAUGGUCGUUUGAAAGCUGAUUUAGUUGAAAAUGUAUGGAAAAAACAUGGUAAUCAUGAUGAAUAAUCUUUGUAUGUUAUUUAUUCAAAAAAAAAAAACCUUUGUAUGUUAUAUGUUCAAAAAAAAUUAAAAAAAAUCUUUCCAUGUUUAUUUGUUCUGAAAAGAAAAAAAAAUCUUUGUAUGUUUUAAUUUGUUCUAAAAAAAUAUUUUAAUUGUAUGUUUGUAUGUUUUAACUCUGAAUAUGUUAUUUUCUCAAAAAAACAAAAAAAAAAUUUUGUAUGUUUUAACUCUGAAUAUGUUAUUUGCUCAAAAAAAUAUAUAAAACUUUGUAUGUUCAUGAAUUUUAAUUGUAUUGAAUAAAAACUUAAAAAAAAAUAUUUUAUUUUAUUUCUAUAAACCGUAUCUUUAGGUUCACCAAUGGAAAAGCAAAAUAUAUACAGAUUUAUCAUUAUUUAUGGUCCCACCAAUGGAUGCUCUAAGGAGAAUAUGUCAUUAAAAAAAAUCGGUAAAAAAUUAAAAGCAGGUGAGAGAAGAAAGAGGAGUUGUCUGCAGAGAGGUGCAGAGAGGUGUUUAGAUACUAAGUUCUACAACUGUCGUCUGUUUGUUGGAUUUUGUAUUUACAGAAAAUUUAAAUUUAAAUUUUUUAUUAAAAUAUUAAUUCUUUUAUUUUUUUAGAACCUUUGGCAGGUUUUUAGCGAUGGGGCUGCCCUUAGUGUUCCGGGGAUUCUAAGAGAUGACUUCCGUAAAACAAAUUAUUGUUCUAUCACUGUACCAGAAGGAUUAUAUUAUGUUCUGAUAACCAAGUUAUGACUUUCAGUUCAAUAUCCUUUUUUAGAUGUUCUCGGUUUUUGUUUUUAUUUGGUAUUUGUUGAAUGAAUUUUGUAAAAAUAGCAUACUGGAGUAAAGAUGAAACAAAUUGUAUCAGGCCAUUAAAAUUGAUUAAAAUUGACGACUAGGAAAAAGAACUCAAGGAAUUAGGUUCUAGUACCUCUUUGGAACUGUUUAUCAUGGAUAAUGGAGGGGGUACAUAUGCUGCCAUCAAGCGUACAAAGGAGCUCUUUUAUUGGUUGUUCAUCUCAACAACGAAGGCUGGUAAGCUUUCUUCGCAAGGGGAUGGUGUCUCUCGAGGAUUAUAGCUGUACAUUGGACACCGAGAGCUUUCUCCAAACUUGCACUAUUUGUAUGCUUUAGGCAUCGGUAUAAGACACUACUACUAUCCGACCCAGAACAGCUUCUCGGAACAACUGCUUCCUAAAACCAACUCUAGUUGUAUACCAUUUCACUUUGCGAAAUUACUUUGCAAUGGACGCAUCUUUUAGGAUUAAAUAAGUACUCAAAAAAUGAUCCGUUUGGGUUUUAAGUCGAAUUACUUUGAAAGAAACACGCAUUAAGUUGAGAUGUAAGCAAUCAAGGCUAUUACCUACAACUACACAAUAAUCAAAUAAAUAAUAAAAUUUAAAUCAUUGUUUUAAACAUAGAUGCAAUCAUGCAAGCCUCUAAAUGUCAAUAGAAAUAGUUUUACAAAAAAAAGAGUACAAACAUUACUUGAGAAGGACUACGAGGGCCACAACAGCCACAAUAGUUGUGGUGAUACCAAGCCAUUCCUCUCGCAAAACAUCCGAGACUGACAAUUUGAUUUGCCUAAAACAAUUGGAAGUUUCGGGCUUGUCUAGAUUCCGAAAUCCAAAUGUCCUAAUUUCCUGUCCAGAAGAAACUGAACCUCGAAUUGGGAGUAAAUUUUCGACAAAAGGAGCAACAAUACGGAUGCCACUAUAAGUACCUAUGCCACAGACUAAGCCGGUAUCCGAACAAUAUUUAUGCAACUUCUUCUCAUUAUCGUAAAAGUAGAGAUUACCUCGCUUGGAAACCGCCAGUGGCAUGCACCAAUGCCACCAGGCACUACAUCUAGAUACGUAACUGCUACAGGUGGAAGAGGAUAGAGGAAAAGAGUAAGUGAUGCUCCAUGUUUCUUCUUGUGCAUCCAUGCUCCAUAUGCCAAACUUAAAGUCAGGAUUCCCAGUAUGCGCUACGGCUAUGACUAGACGGUCUUCAAGGUUAGCUAUCUGCCCUGACUUGCAGAAUCUAGGUGGUGUCUUUACGCUACGAAACUCUUCUGUGUGUAGAUCCAAAGCAAGUAUCUUCUGAGUCUGGUAAUAACUAUCUACUUCUAACCAGUAGAUGGAUCCAUUCACAAACGCCGACUUCAG
rnacentral:lncRNA from 1 species